rnacentral:rRNA from 1 species
GAUGAACGCUGGCGGCGUGCCUAACACAUGCAAGUCGAACGGCAAGACAGUAAGAUUGUGCUCUUACGGGUGGCGGGUGGCGGGAGGGUGACGAGUACAUCGUAAUCUUCUCUUUCGGGGAGGAUAACGAAAGUGGGGUUACUCUAAUAUCGCAUAUGACGUACCGGGGAGAGCAUGGGAGCGUUGGGCCUUUCGCGAUUGAAUUCGCUGAUGUCGGGUUGGCUAGUGGGCUGGGUAAAGGCCCACCAAGUGGAGGAUCCGAAGCUGGUCGGGGAGGAUGGUCACCCACACGGGAACGGAACCCGGGACAAGACUCCUACGGGAGGGAGCAGUGGGGAAUAGUGGACAAUGGGCGAAAGCCUGACCCAGCGAUACCGCGUGGGUGAAGAAGGCCUUCGGGUUGUAAAGCCCUUUUUUUGGGAAAGAAAAGCAGCAGGUUAAUACCCAGCCGUUGUGACGGUACCCAAUGAAUAAGCACCGGCUAACUACGUG